GUACCUCUGGAUCUCCCCAGCUGACCACAGCCACCAAAAGCCUUGAUCGAUCCUCGAAGGUGUCUCCUGGGAUGGCUUGAAGGCUGAGGGCUGGAGUCGUUGGCCAACUCACCUCCCGCUACCAAAGGCUGGUGUCUGCUGGAACAUCACCUGUGGCUGUAGCCAGAACAUCCAUACUUGGACUUCUGUGUGGUUGCUGGGCUGCCUCACGUUAUAAGGCCAUGUGAAGUGGGACAUAUUGGCCUGGCUGACUUUAGGGUCCCAGCAGCCGAGCUGCACUGUGUGUCAACCAGACACUUCAGCAGAUCACGAAGUUACCCUGUAAACGUUUCAAGGACGCUGACUGCAUUUGUAACAAGUGGCAUUUUGGCAUACAAGAAACGUCCUUCCUCAGAAAAGAGACAAACCAUGAAAGAAAUAUCAAAAUUGGGAAUGGAGAAAAUCGCUGGGUGCCUUUGGAAAUGCUUCUCCCCACCCACUCCUGAAAAAAAAAAAAAACCCAGACCCUCUUUUAUCCUCCCUUUCAGCUGUAGCAGUAGAACUAACGCAUGUUCUUCUAAAUUGGCAGAGAAUGAGUGGGAUUUAACAAAGAACACAUCAAAUGUGGGACAACUUCAUAGGAAGAGCUUCACAGGACGAAUAAAGAACACAGAGCCCGAGCCCCUGACGGUUUGAUGCCUGUCAAGGGAAAUGACUCCAUUGGGCGGUGAGGGAGACAAAUCCUUGUUUUUUAGGAAGUUGGAAGCCACUAUCCAGGAUGUGCCUCAUUUGACUAUAUAAGAUGUGGCCAAAAAAUCAAAAGACUUAAAAAAUACUCAUAAGCAGGGCUUCCGCAUUCAAUUGUGCGCUGUCCCUUUUGAAGUCCUUAUCUUGGGUGGCUCCAGACUUAAGCUGACUAUGUCAGUAUGUAAAACACGCUUGGAAUUCCUCUUCAGAGUCUGAAGCAUAUUCUUUUAAGUAUUUUAGCUCUAAAAUAAUUUAGAGCCAAAUCUA
rnacentral:lncRNA from 1 species